rnacentral:ribozyme from 1 species
UGAAAAAAAAAAAAUUACAAAAGUAUAAAUCAGACAGACACCUAUUAUUGAUGGUCUUUUUCAUAGAAGUGCUAUCAGUGCUGUAUUUUUUUUAUUUUUUUUCAGUCACUCUUCCCAGUAUUAUACAAAUGGUAGUAUUUUUAGUCAGCAAUAUAACUAUAACGGUCUGA